rnacentral:rRNA from 1 species
GUCUAUGGCCAUACUAACUUGAACGCGCCUGAUCCCGUCUGAUCUCUGGUCAGGCCUGGUUAGUACUUGGAUGGGAGAUGUUUGCUUAAUUGCAGUGGUCU